rnacentral:rRNA from 1 species
GUGUCAGCAGCCGCGGUAAUACGUAGGUGGCGAGCGUUGUCCGGAUUUACUGGGCGUAAAGAGCGCGCAGGCGGUCGGCCAAGUCGAGUGUGAAAGCCCCCGGCUCAACUGGGGAGGGUCACUUGAUACUGGUCGACUCGAAGGCGGGAGAGGGAAGUGGAAUUCCCGGUGUAGUGGUGAAAUGCGUAGAUAUCGGGAGGAACACCAGUGGCGAAGGCGACUUCCUGGCCCGUUCUUGACGCUGAGGCGCGAAAGCUAGGGGAGCAAACGGGAUUAGAUACCCGCGUAGUCC